rnacentral:rRNA from 1 species
AGAGUUUGAUCCUGGCUCAGGAUGAACGCUAGCGGCAGGCUUAACACAUGCAAGUCGAGGGGCAGCACGGGUAGCAAUAUCUGGUGGCGACCGGCGCAAGGGUGCGUAACGCGUGAGCAACAUGCCCGUAUCAGGGGAAUAAUCCAGGGAAACUUGGUCUAAUACCCCAUAGUAAAUAUUAAAGGCAUCUUUAAUAUUUUAAAGCUUUGGUGGAUACGGAUUGGCUCGCGUGACAUUAGCUGGAUGGUAAGGUAACGGCUUACCAUGGCUACGAUGUCUAGGGGUUCUGAGAGGAAGAUCCCCCACGCUGGAACUGAGACACGGUCCAGACUCCUACGGUAGGCAGCAGUGAGGAAUAUUGGACAAUGGAUGGAAAUCUGAUCCAGCCAUGCCGCGUGCAGGAAGACGGCCCUAUGGGUUGUAAACUGCUUUUAUAUGGGAGCAAUAAGGCCUACGUGUAGGUCGAUGAGAGUACCAUAUGAAUAAGCACCGGCUAACUCCGUGCCAGCAGCCGCGGUAAUACGGAGGGUGCAAGCGUUAUCCGGAUUUAUUGGGUUUAAAGGGUGCGUAGGCGGUUUGAUAAGUCAGCGGUGAAAUAUUUCAGCUUAACUGGAAGGGUGCCGUUGAUACUGUCAGGCUUGAAUUUAGUUGCUGUGGGUGGAAUGUGUGGUGUAGCGGUGAAAUGCAUAGAUAUCACACAGAAUAUCGAUUGCGAAGGCAGCUCACAAAGCUAACAUUGACGCUGAUGCACGAAAGUGUGGGGAUCAAACAGGAUUAGAUACCCUGGUAGUC